AACACAAAAUAUAAGCUCAGGGGGCCAUACUUAGGAUGGGUUUUUAGGUGUUCUGCCUCAAAUAAAAGGGUUUACGAAAGCUUGCGAUCUAAUACCACGACCAAAUAAGAAGUCAAUCAAAUUAAAACUUUAAGGUAAGGCCUAGUCCCUAUCCGGCAACUGCUUUUUGCGCACAGUAAUAAUUAAAUCGUAACUCGUAUUUGAAAAAAAAAAAAUCAUGACACUUCGAGAUGUUAAAUUGAAUCUUUCAGGACUAUUAAUAUAAAUCUCCAAACAGUAUUAUGAGUCAUAAAUAAGAGAAUUAAUUGUAAUGUUUAAUUAAGCAUCUAUUGCAUUCCAUGUAUAUUUAUUAUAUCAUGAAAUGAAAUUACAAUAAUUUAAAGUAGUUAUUCUCAUAAACAAAUAAUGCAUAUGUGAAAUUACCUUGCUACUGGGGAAACACAUGGGAAACGUUUGGGAUCAUCACAAACCUUAAUCUGAUGCUCAUCAUACAAUUGCUUAGUCUCACAUUUAAAUUCUGGUACUCCUUCUCUACAUUUACUUUCUAAUUCAUCUUGAGGAGUAUGAUCUAAGCCUCUUUCCACUAAUAAAUAGUCAAGACAUUCUAAAAAACAACCAUAUUCUAUUGAUGGAGGAUAUAUUUUACAAUUUAUUAAUAAUAUCGAAGAUAAUAUAAAGAAAAAAAUACAAGUAUGCUCCAAAGUCAUCAUCCGCGUACAAGCCAUCCUUGUAUUUAUAAUUCCUAUGGAAAUAAGCAAUUAAUUAGUUACAUUAGAAGUUUCAUAGCAUUGUUUUCAUGAUUUUUAUCAUAUAAACUAGAAUCAUGGUAUUAAAAAUAGAAGGGCACUCGUGUCUAUAGAUUACCACUUUAAUAUAGAUAUUACGCGUAAUUAUAAAAAUCCUCUCAAGUAUUUAAAAAAAUCACAUUGAUGCUUACUUUAAUUUUACUUGUAAUAUAAGAUCUUUUCAGUCAAAAAUUCGUUAAAUUACCAUCUCAAAAUGUUAUACUUGCACCCAAAUGUGAAUAGUUGACCUAAUAGUUUUGCUAUUACAUCUCAGUGCAAUUAUAUUGCUUUUCAAAAUGUCUUAUUGUGUAAAAACUAAAAUAAGCUCUGCCAUUGCGAAUUAAAAGACAUUUUCAACCUAAAAUUUUAUGUCUAAACAAUGGAGAUUGUUCAAAAUAUAGAAGCACAGAUAUCAAGAAAUAAAUUUAAGAGGCACACAACAAUAAGAAAUAAAACCAACAAAUUAAUUAAUUAAAGGUGAAGAGAAAAAAAUCUUGCUUACCCUUUAUUUUGAUAGCACAAGAAUAUUUGGUUUAAGCUGACCUUUUUUGAGAGGACAAUGUUGUAGGGCAUAAAUAGAGAAAACAAUUGGUAGAAUUUAGACAUGUACGUUAUGAGUGAACAAAUAUAUUUUAUUAAAGUGAAAGGCUUAAUAAAUGUCAACUCAUUAGAAUUUAGACAUGUAUGUUAUGAAUGAAAGUCUCAUUAAUAGGAGAGAUAAUUUGUUCGCAACUCAUUAAUGUCAAAAUUACAUCCUCUUGCUAAGAAGGGCAGGAAUGUAACCUUCUUGUGACUGUUAGUAAAUUAUAUAUCCGACUAGUUAAUUAAUUGCAAAAUACCUUAAACCACCCCUAAACUUGAUUCAGAUUAUUAGUAUCCUUUCCGAACUAUGCCCGGUCUUAAUUACCCCCUCAAUUUGGUCUUUUGAGGGUCACUACCCCCUAGACGCUGAUGUGGCAAAAAGUGUGGUUACACUCGCCUGCCACGUGGAUUUUUCUGUCUAUGUGACAUUUUUUUUGAAAAAUAUUUUUUUUUUACCUUUUUAAGAAUAUUAUUUUUUUAGAUAAUUUUUUUCGAAUAAAAUUUAUAAUAAAACUUGGAUAUCACUACAUUAUUUAGGCUAAAUAUUUUUUUAUAAUUAAUAAAGUUUUAGUUAAUCUUCUUUUGAAUUUGACCUGAAAAUAAAGAUUUAUAUAAUUGAAAUAAAUAGUCAAGGCAUCUAAAAAGUUAUAAAAAAUCAUAGUUGAAAUAAA
rnacentral:lncRNA from 1 species